CCGCCGUGAAAUUAACUCUUCUCAUCUUCUAUACCGAAUUCUUCUGAAAAUUUUCUCUUUGCAGUUAAUUUUACCUCUAGACAUCUCACGUCCACCCUACUUCUCCAGUUAUAAUCACAAUUAAUUCUGCACUAAAUAAACCUCAUAAUUUUCUCCUUUCCUUCGCAUUAUAUAAAUGUAGUCAAACUUUUCCUAUUAUCUCCCACACUUCAAAGCUCCCUUUUCCUAUUGCUACAAGUUUCAAUCUUCUCUCAGGGUUAGUGGAAUAUAUAUAAGCGGACAAUUCAAAAGAAACAAAAAAUGAACUACAGGAAAGAGAGUAGUGAUCCAAAGCUUGAUUUGAAGCUAAACUUAUCUCCACCAAGGGCAAAUAUUUUUCAAAGAGAAAUUUCACCAUUUUCUUCAAUGGAAAGAUCACCAGCAAGUUCUUGUGUUUCUAGAGAACCAACUCCAGAAGAUCAACAGUUUUUUGGAAAUUACCAAAAUAGCCCAGAGGCAACAACUUCAAUGAUGCUUGUGGGUUGCCCUAGAUGCUUAAUGUAUGUUAUUUUAUCAGUGGAUGAUCCAAAGUGUCCCAAAUGCAAGAGUUCUGUUUUGCUUGAUUUUUUCCGUGAGGAUAGAAUCAACAAUCCAAAGAAUUGAAUCAAGAAGAAGAAGAAGAAGAAAAACAGCUGUGGUUUUUGGCUUGAUUUGCUGGAUUAUUAUUGACCCUUUACUAAGAUUAGGUUUUAAGUAGGAGUAUUUAAUUUCUUCAUAUAGUAUGUCCUUUUUUUUUUUUGUUGGUUAUGGAAAUGCUUUUGGUUGCUCACAAAACGAAGGGGAAGAGAGAGCUUUUAAUUUUGUGAGUUUGUUGAGGUUAUUGAAUGAAUUGUGACGAAAAUAUUGAAUAUACCUCGACUAUAGGGCCAGCUGGUCUUGUUAUGCAACCAAUAUGCCUAGUAUGGUUUGGUCUUCAUAUUAAUACAUUUGAUGUUAGCAGCUCUUUGUUGCCAUCUUUACUAAA